AUUGGUGCCUCUUUGACCUCACAGUCAAGACAAACGUCUGCACAUUGGACUUUGUAAUGAAGAGAGCUUCAUUACUGGGUCUACUUUUACUUAAAUCACUGUAUAGCACUUUAAAUGCACUUUAUGAACAAGCACUUUAUUUAGCACUGCACUUUAAGCAGAGAUUUGCACAUAAAUAGCAAUUUGCACACGAGAAGUUUUAAUGGUAUUUAUUGAGUAUUUUUAGUAAUUAGCAUGUAGCCUUUUGUUCUGGGCUCUGCACAGCUGCUCGUCAUUGGAAAGUGAGCUGGUUGCCUGUGGAGGGAGGAUAAUUGUUACUCAGAGCAAUGAGCUACUGGGUGUUUGGGCAAAUACUACCCCGGGGGUCCAGACACCAUUUAUAGGUUUUGGGAGAGGCCAUUGAAAAGUGUGGGGAGAUAAUCGUUUAUGGGUUUUUGUGGUGUUUCAUUUGGUGUAGGAUAAAAUAUGAAAUAUUUAUAAAAAGUAAAUUUAAAUGUUUAUAUUUAUUAAAGUGUAUUUUAUUUAAAUAGGUGGAGAUUUGUUAAGGGAGAUCCCACUGUGAAGUGGAAGUGGUUGAGUCCAACACAGCUGAGACUAUUUAAGCCUUCAGUUUUCACCUGUGAAGAAAAUAAUUAUUGUCUGUGUAUUGAUGCUGUGAGGAGAAUAAACCCACUGCUGUUACCACCUGA